rnacentral:rRNA from 1 species
CCUACGGGUGGCUGCAGUGGGGAAUAUUGGACAAUGGGCGAAAGCCUGGUCCAGCCAUGCCGCGUGUGUGAAGAAGGCCUUCGGGUUGUAAAGCACUUUCAGUGGGGAAGAAAGCCUUGGGGCUAAUACCCUCGAGGAAGGACAUCACCCACAGAAGAAGCACCGGCUAACUCCGUGCCAGCAGCCGCGGUAAUACGGAGGGUGCGAGCGUUAAUCGGAAUUACUGGGCGUAAAGCGCGCGUAGGCGGUCUGAUAAGCCGGUUGUGAAAGCCCCGGGCUCAACCUGGGAACGGCAUCCGGAACUGUCAGGCUAGAGUGCAGGAGAGGAAGGUAGAAUUCCCGGUGUAGCGGUGAAAUGCGUAGAGAUCGGGAGGAAUACCAGUGGCGAAGGCGGCCUUCUGGACUGACACUGACGCUGAGGUGCGAAAGCGUGGGUAGCAAACAGGAUUAGAUACCCCGGUAGUC